rnacentral:misc_RNA from 1 species
GUGAAUCAUCGAAUCUUUGAACGCAAAUUGCACUUUCUGGUAUUCCGGAAAGUAUGCCUGUUUGAGGGUCAGUUAAAUACAAAUCGGUGUUGUUGCCGCUAUUCGUGGUGACGCGUCGGAUUUGAGUUGUCUUACAUUCGGUUAAGUGACUUAAAAUUUUGCAUGACUUGCGAACGUACUUACAUUUAUUACGUUCGUUUGAGAUAUCGAUUACUUGAUUAGGUUCGGUCAUCCUCAUGUGU